rnacentral:rRNA from 1 species
AGUGUAGGCGGUUUGAAAAGUCGGGUGUGAAAGCCCAGGGCCCAACCCUGGAACUGCAUCCGAUACUGUCAGGCUAGAGUCCCGGAGAGGGUGGCGGAAUUCCCGGUGUAGGGGUGAAAUCCGUAGAUAUCGGGAGGAACACCAGUGGCGAAGGCGGCCACCUGGACGGUGACUGACGCUGAGACUCGAAAGCGUGGGUAGCAAACAGGAUUAGAUACCCUGGUAGUCC